rnacentral:other from 1 species
GGCGCUCGACCUUGUGCGUGAUCUGCUCUCAUCUUGAGCCAACACACCCUGAUCGGGAGGCAGGUUUGUCCGGUCGACAUAUGCCCGUUUGGAUAUGUUUUCCGGGGGCUGCCACCCACCUGCUACGGCAGGUUCAAGAUCACACAGACACGGCAAGGUGGAGCACUU